rnacentral:rRNA from 1 species
AUUGAACGCUGGCGGCAUGCUUUACACAUGCAAGUCGAACGGCAGCGGGGUAGUGCUUGCACUACUGCCGGCGAGUGGCGAACGGGUGAGUAAUAUAUUGGAACGUACCGAGUAAUGGGGGAUAACCAAUCGAAAGAUUGGCUAAUACCGCAUACGCUCUGAGGAGGAAAGCAGGGGACCUUCGGGCCUUGCGUUAUUCGAGCGGCCAAUAUCUGAUUAGCUAGUUGGUGGGGUAAAGGCCUACCAAGGCGACGAUCAGUAGCGGGUCUGAGAGGAUGAUCCGCCACACUGGGACUGAGACACGGCCCAGACUCCUACGGGAGGCAGCAGUGGGGAAUUUUGGACAAUGGGCGCAAGCCUGAUCCAGCCAUGCCGCGUGUCUGAAGAAGGCCUUCGGGUUGUAAAGGACUUUUGUUAGGGAAGAAAAAGGAGCGGUUAAUACCCGUUUCUGCUGACGGUACCUAAAGAAUAAGCACCGGCUAACUACGUGCCAGCAGCCGCGGUAAUACGUAGGGUGCGAGCGUUAAUCGGAAUUACUGGGCGUAAAGCGAGCGCAGACGGUUACUUAAGCAGGAUGUGAAAUCCCCGGGCUCAACCUGGGAACUGCGUUCUGAACUGGGUAGCUAGAGUAUGUCAGAGGGGGGUAGAAUUCCACGUGUAGCAGUGAAAUGCGUAGAGAUGUGGAGGAAUACCGAUGGCGAAGGCAGCCCCCUGGGAUAAUACUGACGUUCAUGCUCGAAAGCGUGGGUAGCAAACAGG